UACGUAGGGACCGAGCGUUGUCCGGAAUCAUUGGGCGUAAAGAGCGUGUAGGCGGUUCGGUAAGUCCGCUGUGAAAGUCCAGGGCUCAACCCUGGAAUGCCGGUGGAUACUGUCGGGCUAGAGUCCGGAAGAGGCGAGUGGAAUUCCUGGUGUAGCGGUGAAAUGCGCAGAUAUCAGGAGGAACACCAAUGGCGAAGGCAGCUCGCUGGGACGGUACUGACGCUGAGACGCGAAAGCGUGGGGAGCAAACAGG
rnacentral:rRNA from 1 species